GUAGGUGAACCUGCGGAGGGAUCAUUCACAUGAUUACUUUAUAUAACAAACUGUGAACUUUAUUUUACUAUUCGUGUUGGGUGUUGUUGAUUGAAUUUAUUCAUUCACAACAUGUUAACAUUGUCAUUCGAUUGAACAUAAGAUAGUUGGCUUGAUUAAUUUAUUAAUCUUUCUCAGCUUUGAUUUGAUAUUACUAAACAUUUUAUCAAUUCAACCAUAAACAUAGAAACAACUCUAUGCCCUGGAUAUC
rnacentral:misc_RNA from 1 species